CGCGGCCGCCGCCCGAGCUGCCGCCGCCGAAGCGCUUUCUCUGUCUCGCUCUUCCUCCGCCCCCCGACCACACCCCCUUAAAGGGCCAGCCCCUCUACAGGCCCCUCUCCCCUACUCCGCCCCCGGGCAGGGAUAGGGGAGGGUCUAUUCGGCAAGGGGUGGCCUAGCUGUCCGUACUCCCCAAACGCAACCUUCCAGUCCCAAACCCAGGCGUUCUAAGCGCUCAGGACGACGAUUUGCGCUCACGCCAGGACCCUAGUCUUCAUUGGACCCUUCCUCAUUCUGUCCUCACUGGGGCCAUCUGAGAAUAGGGGCCAUCUGAGAAUGCAGGGGAGUGGACAUCGUGUGCAGACAGGGAGUCUGAUUGUGAGUGCCGCGGGGCUGAGGCCUGCGCCGACCUGGUCUGCUGGUGCUACCAGGCUUGAACAGUCUUCAAAUCCACUGCUAUUAGGCAAAUUACCUGGCUCCCGCUGAACUCCAGCACCUAGAACUAUGUCACACUCGUAGUAGGCCGCUGCAUUGGUUGAACAAAUGAUUUUGAAAGAAUGAAUGUCUUCCUCUGUGCCUGCAUUUCCUCAGAAGGUUGUAACAAAGAUUAAAUAGGAAAAUUCGUGGAA
rnacentral:lncRNA from 1 species